ensembl:lncRNA
AGAGGGUGCACGUCCACAGGUUUGGUAGGGCUUAAAGUUUGCUGGCUGUCCGUAAAAAAAUGUCUCUCACAAACGUUAGGCGAUGGACCCGUAUCGUUUUGAUCGUGAUUAAUGUACUAGUUGGCCACAGUGGUAACAUUAAGUUAAUGGAUAGGGAAGGGUCCUGUUCAUGAUUUUUUCCCCCUACGGAAGCAAUGUAGCUGAAGCAAAAAGCUACUUGAAUUGGAGUAUGGAGUACAUUGUUUCAGACUGAGCUGCAGAUCAACCUACUGUCCCCUGACUUGCAGUGGCCUUCAAAUGGAAGGGAUGGACAAUGGUGUGGAGUAUGGUGAAGAUAUGAAGACCUUUUUUUCU